rnacentral:rRNA from 1 species
AGCAGCCGCGGUAAUUCCAGCUCCAAUAGCGUAUAUUAAAGUUGUUGCAGUUAAAAAGCUCGUAGUUGAAUUUCGGGAUUAGUACGCUGGUCAUGCCUUUGGUAUGUACUGGUGUUACUGAUUCCUACCUUCUGAAGAACCGUUAUGUCAUUCAUUUGGUGUGGCGGGGAAUCAGGACUGUUACUUUGAAAAAUUAGAGUGUUUAAAGCAGGCUCGCGCUUGAAUACAUUAGCAUGGAAUAAUGAAAUAGGACGUUGAUCCUAUUUUGUUGGUUUCUAGGAUUGACGUAAUGAUUAAUAGGGAUAGUUGGGGGCAUUAGUAUUCAAUUGUCAGAGGUGAAAUUCUUGGAUUUAUUGAAGACUAACUACUGCGAAAGCAUUUGCCAAGGAUGUUUUCAUUAAUCAAGAACGGAAGUUAGGGGAUCGAAGACGAUCAGAUACCGUCGUAGUCUUAACCAUAAACUAUGCCGACUAGGGAUCGGAUGAUGUUAAUUUUUUAAUGACUCAUUCGGGCGUACCCG